rnacentral:lncRNA from 1 species
UCGCGCCACUGCACUCCAGCCUAGGCCACAGAGCGAGACUCCGUCUCAAAAAAAUAAAAGGAUCAUUCAGGUAAAGCAGAUAAGAAUCACCAAUACCUUGAGGUGGAAGCACGCCUGACAUGGUUGAGAAACAACAGAGAAGCCGGCGUCCUGAGUGCGUUUCCAUAGUAAUGAUCAAAUCAAAGAAAUAUAGAAAACACCUAACAUUGCUGGAAACUGAAGAGGUGUUCAACUCAUUUAUCCGACCUUGAAGCCAGUAGAGUGCAGGAGACAUCUGAGUGUUGUCAAGGAUCAACAAAUCUGGAUACUAGUUAAUGUGAUGCCGUGAACCUAGCAAUGAGUGAGGAAAAGGAAUCUUUCACCCCUACAAAGGGAUACCAUGGAAUUUCUCAAACAGUGAAUACAUUGGCUCCAGGAAAAAGGGUCGACCUCUUAAAUAGAAAUAGAGAACUAGAGAACAAUAAUGAGGGGAGUACCUUGCAGUCAGUAAUAAGAAGCUGUCUUUACUAUCAAAUCAGACCUCCAGUGGGAGAGUUUUUCCCUAUAGUGACUUUGACUGUCACCCUGUGUUUAAUCACAAUCCUAUGAAAACAGUUAACUCUCUAAGUGGUCAAAGAAAUUUUUCAAUAAACAUAAACUUUAGUCUAAUUCUCAUUAUUCUCCUUUUUUGUCUCUUUGUCUAAAAUAAAGCAAUUAAACAUUAAUUAUGCAAAUCAUUGACAAACUAGAAAAACAAUACCCUUCGUAUUUCAAGACAGUGGGAGAGAUAGGCUGGGUAUUCAGAGAAAAAUACCCCUCAUUAAAUGUUAAUGCAAGAAACAGGUGGAAGGCCGAGCAUGGUGGCUCA